rnacentral:lncRNA from 1 species
AUAGCCCAGGGCCCCAACAGCUGUGGCCAUCUGUGUCUAGGCACUGGACGAGCUCUACCUCCAGUAGCAGUGACGUAGGGCCUUUCCUAGGCAUCCCUUGUGUGUCUAGGAGUUGCUCAGAGGACUAUGCCCAUUGUCUUUAGGCCAUUAAGAUGCAGUAGAAGGGGAGAGGCUGGUCCAUCCAGCCCCCAUGUCUGGGGCUCACAGACCCUUGUGAAGUCCAGGCAGAUGGUGAUGGGAACUGCUGACAUUAAAAGCCAAACCUGGGGUGGGGAAUUCUACAGCCUCCUGGGUUCACAGGUCCAGGGACCAAAGAGGACUUCAUUUCCAUUUGGGAGAAGGGUAAAAGGAAAGAGAGUGGGGUACUGCAGCAGGAAGGAUGGAGGAUCCAUAUCAAGGGGGAACUUCCGGUGUGAUCAAGCUUUGAUUCCAGGGCCAGUAUAAAUGCACUGCUCAACUGUGGGAAAGGGGCUGGGAUGGAAAUGACACAGGCUGGGCCUGCAGCCAAUGGAACUUCCCCACAGAAGAUGCCACUUAAAAGUGUUAUUAAACCCUCAGGACUUUUAAAGCAGAGAACAAGGUAACUAUGAACACUCUUUAAAGUGAUAUUGAGAGUUCCCAAGAGAGUUCUGUGUCUUUCUCACUUCCCUCUGCCUUGGGAUGGAGACACGUGUCUACCCCAAUGUCCCCCUCUCCUCCCCAGCUCCUGCUCUGUCUUCCAG